rnacentral:rRNA from 1 species
CACGUAGGGCGCAAGCGUUGUCCGGAAUUAUUGGGCGUAAAGAGCUCGUAGGCGGCCCGGUAAGUCCGCUGUGAAAGUCCAGGGCUCAACCCUGGAAAGCCGGUGGAUACUGCCCGGGCUAGAGUCCGGAAGAGGCGAGUGGAAUUCCUGGGUGAGCGGUGGAAUGCGCAGAUAUCAGGAGGAACACCCAAUAGCGAAAGGCAG